ACAGUUUGAUCGUGGCUCAGAACGAACGUUGGCGGCGUGGAUUAGGCAUGCAAGUCGAACGAAUCCCACUCCGGUCACUAGGUGGGGGAAGUGGCGAAAGGGGCAGUAAGGCGUAGGUAACCUACCCCGGGGACGGGGAUAGCCAUUCUAACGAGUGGGUAAUACCCGGCGAUCUGGCGGGGAGACAUCUCCUUGCCAGGAAAUGAGUUUCGCCUCGGGAGGGGCUUACGUGGUAUUAGCUAGACGGCGGGGUAACGGCCCACCGUGGCCAAGAUGCCUAGCAGGUGUGAGAGCCCGACCUGCGCCACUGGCACUGUGACACCGGCCAGACUCCUACGGGAGGCUGCAGUCGAGGAUCUUCGGCAAUGGGCGCAAGCCUGACCGAGCGACGCCGCGUGUGCGAUGAAGGCCUUCGGGUUGUAAAGCACUGUCGAGGGGGAGGAAAGCCGCAAGCCCUGCCCUAUCCCUGGAGGAAGCACGGGCUAAGUUCGUGCCAGCAGCCGCGCUAAGACGAACCGUGCGAACGUUGUUCGGAAUCACUGGGCUUAAAGGGCGCGUAGGCGGGUGUCAAGUCAGUGCGAAACUAGGCUCAUCGAU
rnacentral:rRNA from 1 species